rnacentral:rRNA from 1 species
CUGGCUCAGGACGAACGCUGGCGGCGUGCCUAAUACAUGCAAGUAGAACGCUGAAGGAGGAGCUUGCUUCUCUGGAUGAGUUGCGAACGGGUGAGUAACGCGUAGGUAACCUGCCUGGUAGCGGGGGAUAACUAUUGGAAACGAUAGCUAAUACCGCAUAAGAGUAGAUGUUGCAUGACAUUUGCUUAAAAGGUGCAAUUGCAUCACUACCAGAUGGACCUGCGUUGUAUUAGCUAGUUGGUGGGGUAACGGCUCACCAAGGCGACGAUACAUAGCCGACCUGAGAGGGUGAUCGGCCACACUGGGACUGAGACACGGCCCAGACUCCUACGGGAGGCAGCAGUAGGGAAUCUUCGGCAAUGGACGGAAGUCUGACCGAGCAACGCCGCGUGAGUGAAGAAGGUUUUCGGAUCGUAAAGCUCUGUUGUAAGAGAAGAACGAGUGUGAGAGUGGAAAGUUCACGCUGUGACGGUAUCUUACCAGAAAGGGACGGCUAAC